AUCCUUUAUGUACAUUUGAUUCCUGUAAGUCUGAGUAAACACCCUGUGAUGUCACGUGUGAUUUGAACAUCCAGACACGUUUGCAACAAGAACAUGACAAGGGUCUAAACAGCUCGCUGUGGCUCCAUAAGUUCCCUCAUGUCAUAAUUCAUGUGCUACAUUAAAGGAAACAAGCUAUCCAGCCCAGGAACCUCCUGAGAUCCCUCUGAGUGAAUGAAGACACAGUGGAGGAGGUGUCAGGAUCCAGGAAAAAAAACAUGCACUGAAUUACAGAGGAGAGCUGGAUGUUCUACUGGGUGUUCUACUGGAUGUUCUACUGGAUGUUCUAAUGGGUGUUCUACUGGAUGUUCUACUGGGUGUUCUACUGGAUGUUCUACUGGAUGUUCUACUGGAUGUUCUACUGGGUGUUCUACUGGGUGUUCUACUGGGUGUUCUACUGGGUGUUCUACUGGAUGUUCUAAUGGGUGUUCUACUGGAUGUUCUACUGGGUGUUCUACUGGAUGUUCUACUGGAUGUUCUACUGGAUGUUCUACUGGGUGUUCUACUGGGUGUUCUACUGGGUGUUCUACUGGAUGUUCUACUGGAUGUUCUCCAAGCUCUCCAAGCUAAAAACCACAGAUUCCAGAAAACGUUUUUAAACAACAAUCCAUUUAUUGUGCAUUUAUUGUACAUUUAUUGUACAUGACUCUUCAGCCCUUUUCAUGAGCUCAGAUAAUGUUAGAAAAUAAGAGUCAUUAUUAUACUUCAGACUCUAAUUUCAUCUGGAAAACACUGUAUGUUUCCUCAGAACAAUGUGAACCCAUGAUUGGAAAAGCAUCAAGAGAAGGCCAGAACACUAUGCACCGAUAACUUGAUGGUUUCUCAGUCUUUAGUGUAGCAGAAAAUCAGGCCACAUCACAACAGCUGGCCUGAAAAGACGCCGAGCGAGUGUGGAGAAGAGCGAGAGCCCUGCUUUCCUGCGACACCCACGUGUCUGCCACCGCAUGACCAAGCUUACAGAACAUAAACACACAGCUCCAGGUGUCAUCAACAUCUGCCAUGUUCCUUCAUCCCUUCUCACUAUGCUGCUGUUAACCGCUCCAUCAUUUCUCGGGAAUAUUUGCGUACAGAUUUCACACGACGAUGUCGAAUACUGCGCUUCUGAUUGGUCAGCGGCUCUCGUCACGAUCGUUUCCAUAGGAACGUGUCAUUCACAACAUGAACGGAAGCGGCAGGUUUAUCAGGCAUCCGUGGGACGAAUCCAUUACAAAAGAGCCGACACUCAAAGCUCCAUAUUUCAGCAGUCAUUUUUCACACCGAGCAUCUGGAGAAAUCUUAUAGACAUGUAUUACAUUACAGAGGAGCAAACAAACCCGAUGUGAUAAAGCGAGCGGACGGAAAGCUGACUCCCGGAAUAAGCCGAGGUUAUUUACAUUAUAAAUGUCGCCGGCGACGUGCUCGUAUCUGUCUCUCAGACCGAUCUGGAUUCCUCUCAGGACCGCGCCGUACAGGAGCUGACUAACCACAGUGAGAAAAAACAACAGCACCUUUUUGGAAAAUCUUGCAAAGCGCUGCAAAAAAAAAAAAAAGAAUAAAAUGAUCCACAACAGUGUCAGAUUUAAUGGAAGAGGGUCAGAUUUAUUAUAUACAAGAGAUAUUGUGUUCCUGUAGUGGUCCACUGCUGUUCAAAUUCUUCUCCAGGGUCCUUGAAAUGAAUUUUUCAUGCUUGUGAGCGUAGCUUACAUCAAAAAAAAGAUAAAAAAAAAUAGAAAAAAAUCAAGCAUAUUUCGAGUUCGGACCGUGCCGGUGGACUUCUGUGGCAGGAAAGUCUCUGAAUCAUGUUGUGGAAAAAUAUGAUGAAGCUAAAAGCCCCAAACCCAGAGCUAAAUGACACUCGUUACACUGCAUCGAGGGCUAUUUUACAAACAAAUAAAGUGAGAGCCGUAACAUUAAAUUAAAGCGAGCUUGCAACGGUU